GAGUUUGAUCAUGGCUCAGGAUGAACGCUGGCGGCGUGCCUAAUACAUGCAAGUCGAGCGAACAGAUAAGGAGCUUGCUCCUUUGACGUUAGCGGCGGACGGGUGAGUAACACGUGGAUAACCUACCUAUAAGACUGGGAUAACUUCGGGAAACCGGAGCUAAUACCGGAUAACAUAUUGAACCGCAUGGUUCAAUAGUGAAAGGCGGCUUUGCUGUCACUUAUAGAUGGAUCCGCGCCGUAUUAGCUAGUUGGUAAGGUAACGGCUUACCAAGGCAACGAUACGUAGCCGACCUGAGAGGGUGAUCGGCCACACUGGAACUGAGACACGGUCCAGACUCCUACGGGAGGCAGCAGUAGGGAAUCUUCCGCAAUGGGCGAAAGCCUGACGGAGCAACGCCGCGUGAGCGAGGACGGCCUUCGGGUUGUAAAGCUCUGUUCUUCGGGAAGAAUGGCGGGAGAGUGAACAGCUCUCUCGUUUGACGGUACCGAAGGAGAAAGCCCCGGCUAACUAC
rnacentral:rRNA from 1 species